UUCACUAUAGAGGGCCCUGGUCAACAGUAGUGGACUGACUAUAGAGGGCCCUGGUCAACAGUAGUGGACUGACUAUAGAGGGCCCUGGUCAACAGUAGUGGACUG